UGGGGAAUAUUGGUCAAUGGGCGCAAGCCUGAACCAGCCAUCCCGCGUGAAGGAAGAAGGCGCUAUGCGUUGUAAACUUCUUUUUCAGGGGAAGAAAAUUUUCUACGAGUAGAGAAUUGACGGUACCCUGUGAAUAAGCAUCGGCUAACUCCGUG
rnacentral:rRNA from 1 species